UUUCUUCCAGAGGCCCCAGGACCCCCAGACAGUCGACCUGGUCUUGCAGCUCCUGGAUCGAGACUGCGACGGAGCCGUAGAUUUCAACGAGUUCCUCCUGCUCGUGUUCAAGGUGGCCCAGGCUGCUACAGCGCCCUGAGCCAGGUAGCGGGGAACACCAAGAACGAGAGAGGUCGCGACUUCUCUCAGGAACGCCUGUCGCGACAGGAGGAAGAUCAGCGCUGCCGAGGACUGCGCGACGGGGAGCAGCGUCGACAGCAGGAGCAGGAGGAAGAGCUACAGCGCGAGAGGCGCUGUGAGGAGGAGGAGGAGGAGGAACAGCGUCAAAGGCAGCGAGAAGAAAGGCGUGAACAGCGCUGUGACGAAGAGGCACAGCGUGAAAGGCAACGCCAACAGCGCUGUGAAGAGGAACGGCGCCAAAGACAGCGCGAAAGACAACGCGAGCAGCGCUGUGAGGAGGAACAGCGCGAGCAGCGCUGUGAGGGGGAGGAACAGCGUCAGAGACAGCGCGAAGAACGCUGUGAGGAAGAGGAGCAACGGGAAAGACGGCGUGAGCAGCGCUGGGAGGAAGAACAGCGUCAGAGAGAACGGGAGCGGCGUUGUGAGGAAGAGGCGCAGCGAGAACUGCAGCGCGAAAGACGUCGUGAACAGCGCUGUGAGGAGGAACAGCGCGAACAGCGCUGCGAGGAGGAGCAGCGUGAGAGACGUCGUGAACAGCGCUGCGAGGAGGAGGAACAGCGUCUGAGACAGGGUGAGCGGCGCUGCGAGGAGGAACAGCGUGAGAGACGUCGUGAACAGCGCUGCGAGGAGGAGGAACAGCGUCUGAGACAGCGUGAGCGGCGCUGCGAGGAGGAACAGCGUGAGAGACGGCGUGAGCAGCGCUGCGAGGAGGAACAGCGUGAGAGACGGCGUGAACAGCGCUGCGAGGAGGAGGAACAGCGUCUGAGACAGCGUGAGCAGCGCUGCGAGGAGGAACAGCGUGAGAGACGUCGCGAACAGCGCUGUGAGGAGGAGGAACAGCGUCUGAGACAGCGUGAGCAGCGCUGCGAGGAGGAACAGCGAGAGAGACGUCGCGAACAGCGCUGCGAGGAGGAGGAACAGCGUCUGAGACAGCGUGAGCAGCGCUGCGAGGAGGAACAGCGAGAGAGACGUCGCGAACAGCGCUGCGAGGAGGAGGAACAGCGUCUGAGACAGCGUGAACAGCGCUGCGAGGAGGAACAGCGAGAGAGACGUCGCGAACAGCGCUGCGAGGAGGAGGAACAGCGUCUGAGACAGCGUGAGCAGCGCUGCGAGGAGGAACAGCGUGAGAGACGUCGCGAACAACGCUGCGAGGAGGAGGAACAGCGUCUGAGACAGCGUGAGCAGCGCUGCGAGGAGGAACAGCGUGAGAGACGUCGUGAACAGCGCUGCGAGGACGAGGAACAGGUUCUGAGACAGAGUGAGCAGCGCUGCGAGGAGGAACAGCGUGAGAGAUUCAGUGGACAGUGCUGUGAGGACGAAGAACAGCUCCUGAGGCAGCGCAAGCAGAGCUGCGCGGAGGAGGAGGAACAGCGUCUGAGACAGCGGCUAAGGCGGCGCGAAGAAAAACGGCGUCUAAGGCAGCAAGAGGAGCGUUGUGAGGAGGAGAGGCGACAGAGGCAGCGCCAAAGGGACGAAGCCUGCGAGGGAGCCAAGCGUCGCCCCGUGAGCUGGAGGUGGCAGGUGGAGAGGGAAGGCCAGGCCCGCCAGAACAAGCUCUACUCCCGACCCCGGGUGCCAGAGCGGGUCCGCCGGCCGGCCCGGGACCAACGACUCCAAGACGCUGAAGAGAGCUGCCGACGGGAAAAGGAAAGGCGGCGCAGGGAGGAGGAGGAGCAGUUCCGCAGACUGGACCGGGACCAACGACUCCGUGAAGAGGAGGAGGAGGAGGAGGAGGAACAAAGGGCCCGGGACGUGGAGCAGAACCGGAGCCUGAACUGGGAGUGGCAGGUAGAGGAGGAGAAAGCCCAACGCCGCAACAAACUCUAUUCCAAGCCCCGGUCCCAGGAGGAGACCCGAAGGGAAAAGCAGGAGAGGAAGCUGAGAGAGGAGCUGGAAGAACUGAGGCAGCAGGAGAGAGAUAGCCAAUGUCGGGGUGAAGACCAGGUCCGCAGGCAGGAGAGAGAGAGGAAGCUGAGAGAGGAGCUGGAGGAACUGAGGCAGCAGGGGAGAGAUCGUCAAUGCCGGGGUGAAGACCAGGUCCGCAGGCAGGAGAGAGAGAGGAAGCUGAGAGAGGAGCUGGAAGAAUUGAGGCAGCAGGAGAGAGAUCGCCAAUGCCAAAGUGAAGACCAGAUCCGCAGGCAGGAGAGAGAGAGGAAGCUGAGAGAGGAGCUGGAGGAACUGAGGCAACAGGGGAGAGAUUCGUCAAUGCCGGGGUGA
rnacentral:lncRNA from 1 species